GCCGAUGUGGUGGAAUUGGUAGACACGCCGUCUUGAGGGGGCGGUGGCGCGAGCCGUGCCGGUUCGAGUCCGGCCAUCGGCACCA
rnacentral:tRNA from 1 species